UACGUAGGGGGCAAGCGUUUGUCCGGAUUUAUUGGGCGUAAAGAGCGUGUAGGCGGCUUGGAAGGUCAGCUGUGAAAACUCGAGGCUCAACCUCGAGACGUCGGUUGAAACCACCUGGCUAGAGUCCGGAAGAGGAGAGUGGAAUUCCCGGUGUAGCGGUGAAAUGCGCAGAUAUCGGGAAGAACACCCGUGGCGAAGGCGGCUCUCUGGGACGGUACUGACGCUGAGACGCGAAAGCGGUGGGGGAGCGAACAGGG
rnacentral:rRNA from 1 species